GACGAACGCUGGCGGCGUGCUUAACACAUGCAAGUCGAACGGAAAGGCCCUGCUUUUGUGGGGUGCUCGAGUGGCGAACGGGUGAGUAACACGUGAGUAACCUGCCCUUGACUUUGGGAUAACUUCAGGAAACUGGGGCUAAUACCGGAUAGGAGCUCCUGCUGCAUGGUGGGGGUUGGAAAGUUUCGGCGGUUGGGGAUGGACUCGCGGCUUAUCAGCUUGUUGGUGGGGUAGUGGCUUACCAAGGCUUUGACGGGUAGCCGGCCUGAGAGGGUGACCGGCCACAUUGGGACUGAGAUACGGCCCAGACUCCUACGGGAGGCAGCAGCGGGGAAUAUUGCACAAUGGGCGGAAGCCUGAUGCAGCAACGCCGCGUGCGGGAUGACGGCCUUCGGGUUGUAAACCGCUUUCGCCUGUGACGAAGCGUGAGUGACGGUAAUGGGUAAAGAAGCACCGGCUAACUACGUGCCAGCAGCCGCGGUGAUACGUAGGGUGCGAGCGUUGUCCGGAUUUAUUGGGCGUAAAGGGCUCGUAGGUGGUUGAUCGCGUCGGAAGUGUAAUCUUGGGGCUUAACCCUGAGCGUGCUUUCGAUACGGGUUGACUUGAGGAAGGUAGGGGAGAAUGGAAUUCCUGGUGGAGCGGUGGAAUGCGCAGAUAUCAGGAGGAACACCAGUGGCGAAGGCGGUUCUCUGGGCCUUUCCUGACGCUGAGGAGCGAAAGCGUGGGGAGCGAACAGGCUUAGAUACCCUGGUAGUCCACGCUGUAAACGGUGGGUACUAGGUGUGGGGUCCAUUCCACGGGUUCCGUGCCGUAGCUAACGCUUUAAGUACCCCGCCUGGGGAGUACGGCCGCAAGGCUAAAACUCAAAGGAAUUGACGGGGCCCCGCACAAGCGGCGGAGCAUGCGGAUUAAUUCGAUGCAACGCGUAGAACCUUACCUGGGUUUGACAUGGAUCGGGAGUGCUCAGAGAUGGGUGUGCCUCUUUUGGGGUCGGUUCACAGGUGGUGCAUGCCUGUCGUCAGCUCGUGUCGUGAGAUGUUGGGUUAAGUCCCGCAACGAGCGCAACCCUUGUUCACUGUUGCCAGCACGUUAUGGUGGGGACUCAGUGGAGACCGCCGGGGUCAACUCGGAGGAAGGUGGGGAUGACGUCAAGUCAUCAUGCCCCUUAUGUCCAGGGCUUCACGCAUGCUACAAUGGCUGGUACAGAGAGUGGCGAGCCUGUGAGGGUGAGCGAAUCUCGGAAAGCCGGUCUCAGUUCGGAUUGGGGUCUGCAACUCGACCUCAUGAAGUCGGAGUCGCUAGUAAUCGCAGAUCAGCAACGCUGCGGUGAAUACGUUCCCGGG
rnacentral:rRNA from 1 species